rnacentral:rRNA from 1 species
AGCUUGUUGGUGAGGUAACGGCUCACCAAGGCGAUGACGGGUAGGGGGUGUGAGAGCACGGCCCCCCACAAGGGCACUGAGACACGGGCCCUACACCUACGGGUGGCAGCAACCAGGAAUAUUGCGCAAUGGGCGAAAGCCUGACGCAGCGACGCCGCGUGGAGGAUGAAGGUUUUCGGAUCGUAAACUCCUUUUUACAGGGAGAAAGAAAAUGAUAGUACCUGUAGAAUAAGCACCUGCAAACUACGUGCCAGCAGCCGCGGUAAUACGUAGGGUGCAAGCGUUAUCCGGAUUUACUGGGCGUAAAGAGUAUCGUAGGCGGUUUCUCAAGUCACGGGUUAAAGCCCUUUGCUUAACGAAGGAUCAGCCCGUGAUACUGAAAAACUUGAAUUGGGUAGGGGGUGCUGGAAUUCCUGGUGGAGGAGUGAAAUCCGUUGAGAUCAGGAAGAACACCGAGGGCGGAGGCAGGCACCUAAGCCACAAUUGACGCUGAUGAACGAAAGCUAGGGGAGCGAAAGGGAUUAGAGACCCCUGUAGUCCUAGUUGUAAACAAUGCCUACUAGCUGGUCCGAUCUUUAUCGGACUGGCGUAAGCUAACGCGUUAAGUAGGCCGCCUGGGAAGUACGGCCGCAAGGCUAAAACUCAAAGGAAUUGACGGGGGAGCGCACAACCAGUGGAGCAUGUGGUUCAAUUCGAUACGAAGCGAUAGACCUUACCUGGGUUUGACAUCUUAGUGACAUUUCCGGGAAACCGGAACUUCCGCAAGGACAUUAGGACAGCUGCUGCAUGGCUGUCGUCAGCUCGUGUCGUGAGACGUACGCUUAAGUGCGGUAACGAGCGCAACCCUCAUGCUAAGUUAAAUAUUCUUAGCAAACUGCCUCUGCUUUUGCGGGGGAGGAAGGAGAGGAUGACGUCAAGUCAGCACGGCGCUUAUGCCCAGGGCCACACACAUCCUACAAUGGGAAGGACAAUGGGUCGCCAAACCGUGAGGCGGAGCUAAUCCCAUCAAACCUUCCCCCAGUUGGGAUUGAGGGCUGAAACUCGCCCUCAUGAACUCGGAAUUGGUAGUAAUCGCGGAUCAGCAGACCGCGGUGAAUACGUUCUCGCUCCUUGUACACACUGCCCGUCAACUGAGGAAAGUCGGGAGCGCCCGAAGCGUCCCGCUUAGCGGGACAUAAAGGCGAGCUCGGUAAUCAGCGGUAAGUCGUAACAAGGUAUCCGUUCUGGAAGGAGCGGAUG